AUGUGGAUGCCUGGUAAUGAUGGUCACUAUCGUCAACAUUUUGUAAUAACAUACCGCUCAGUGCUUGCUAUAAAUUGGACAAUAGUUGUACAUUCGUUAAAUGAAGGACGCCAUACAGUUCAAGAUCUUUCUGAGAAUAUGGAGUAUAUUGUUUAUAUGUAUGCACGAAAUGAUAUAGGAAAGAGUGAUGACACAGACAAUGUGACAAUUCAAACACUUCAUUCAAAUACAAUGUCUAAAGGACAUUUUCACACAGUUAAAUUAUCUGCUUACAUCGCUGCUUGCUUUUGCUGUGUUUUUAUUCUGCUGCUGGCAUCAGUCUUUUACAUACGGCUUCGAGAAUUCGCUUUCAAAGGACAAAAGAAAACAAAGAUUGAACACAGCAAACAAAGGGAAUAUUGCCAGCAAAAACAUUUAACUGUUUAUGAAGAAGUGAUUUUUAAUCCAGCAGAAAACGGAAAACGGUUCAUCAUAAAUACUAAAGUCGUGGAUGACGAUCUGAAUACGUCUGGUUAAACACUACGUAUUCAAAAGUGAAACUUUGCCCCUAAUCUUUAAAUAACAUUUUAAUCAAAAUUUAAUCAUCGACUUUGAUUACAGCGGUCAUCUCAGUACCAGAGUCUAUGACAAUCGAGAUGAUUUCUAUUUUGAAAUUAUGAAUUUUCCUCACCUUAGCAGCGAUUAUAAGAUUUUUAUAGUGUUGUUUUCAUUUUGUAUACCCUUGUAUUUAUAUUUUGCUUAUUUUGUAUUUUAUCGGGAAAGUGUAUACGUCAUAUGUAUUACAGAGCCCCUUAAGUGCCAUGUAAAUAUAAAUAUUUUCGUUUGUCGGAUAUCAAAUCUGGUGCGCACAAGUUUAAAAAUCGUGCGCACUACUUUGAAACUCGUGCGCACGGUUUUUAAUCUCGUGUGCACGACAUUGUAAAACUGGGGCGCACAACUUUGAAAAACAGGUGCGCACGACUUUUAAACUGGUGCGCAGCAAUUUGAAAGUCGUGAGCACUAGUUGGAAAGUCGUUCGCAUCAGUUUGAAAGUCGUGCGCAUCAUUUUUAAAAGUCUUGCGCAUCAGUUAUUGGAAGCCUUGCGUAUCAGUAAUUGAAGGUUGUGCGCAUCAUUUUGAAGGUUUUUUUUCCAAUUUUUACAAAUAUGAACAAGAAUCUUCGUUUUAUACAUAUGACUGUGCAUGAAAUUUAAUGGAAAUUAGAUGAGACCAUCUUAACUUUUCAAACGACAUAAAACAUAUGCAGAAAAAAAGUCAUGUUUGUUUACAUUUUUAUUUCUCUGAAAUUUCGAGGAGCAUUCUGCCGUUUGUAGUUUUGUAAAAACGGUGUACUUUUAAGCCUUGACUUUUCUUGGAUACUGAUUAUAAUGUUGAACC